UACGGGGGGGGCAAGCGUUGUUUGGAAUUACUGGGCGUAAAGGGCCAGUAGGCGGCCAACUAAGUCGGAUGUGAAAUCCCCAGGCUUAACCUGGGAACUGCAUCCGAUACUGGAUGGCUUGAAUUCGGGAGAGGGAUGCAGAAUUCCAGGUGUAGCGGUGAAAUGCGUAGAUAUCUGGAGGAAUACCGGUGGCGAAGGCGGCAUCCUGGACCGAGAUUGACACUGAUGAGCGAAAGCUAGGGGAGCAAACGGG
rnacentral:rRNA from 1 species